AACGCAAAUUGCGCUCUUGGGUAGCCCUAGGAGCACGCCUCUCUCAGUAUCGGUUCAACAACCUCUCAGCAGCGUAUGUGAAAGCAUAUGUGAUGGCUGGAUAAUGAGAGUCUAAUCUUCACUGAUUAGUCUCUUGAAAUACAUCGAGUGAGCAUCAUAUUCCAUAACACGUGUCUUCGGGCACAAGCUAGUCUCCGACUGGUUGUAUGGUAGUGACGUGAAUACUGACCCUUGUGGUCUCACAUUUACGUGUAACUUUCAUCAACUAUUUAAAGUUAGAAAUUAGUGUUUUAGAAGAGAUACUCAUGUUUCAGCGGCUUCGGCUGCAAUCGGCUUUAAUUUAUUAUAGUCUGAAUUUUGAUCUGAGAUGAAGCGAGACAACCCCCUGAAUUUAA
rnacentral:misc_RNA from 1 species